rnacentral:rRNA from 1 species
GACGAACGCUGGCGGCGUGCUUAACACAUGCAAGUCGAACGAUGAAGCCUUAGCUUGCUUUGGUGGAUUAGUGGCGAACGGGUGAGUAACACGUGAGCAACGUGCCCAGGACUCUGGAAUAACCGCGGGAAACCGUGGCUAAUACCGGAUAGGUGCCGAGGCCGCAUGGUCUUCGGUUGGAAAGUUUUUGCGGUUCUGGAUCGGCUCACGGCCUAUCAGCUUGUUGGUGGGGUAAUGGCCUACCAAGGCGACGACGGGUAGCCGGCCUGAGAGGGUGACCGGCCAAAAGGGAAGGAGAAAAGGGCCCGGACGAGGAGGGGAGACAGGGGGGGGAAAAAGUGCAAAAGGGGGGGAAGGCGAGUGCAAAAACGCGGGGGGGGGAAGGGCGGCUUUGGGGUUGAAAACCUUUUUUGGGGGGAAAGAAGGGGAAGGAAGGGACCCUGGAAAAAAAACACGGGAAAACAAGGG